rnacentral:rRNA from 1 species
ACGUGCCUUUCACUACGGAAUAGUCCCGGGAAACUGGGUUUAAUACCGUAUACGCCCUUCGGGGGAAAGAAUUUCGGUGAGAGAUCGGCCCGCGUCUGAUUAGGUAGUUGGUGGGGUAAUGGCCUACCAAGCCGACGAUCAGUAGCUGGUUUGAGAGGAUGAUCAGCCACACUGGGACUGAGACACGGCCCAGACUCCUACGGGAGGCAGCAGUGAGGAAUCUUGGACAAUGGGGGCAACCCUGAUCCAGCCAUGCCGCGUGAACGAUGAAGGCCUUAGGGUUGUAAAGUUCUUUCAACGGUGAAGAUAAUGACGGUAGCCGUAGAAGAAACCCCGGCUAACUCCGUGCCAGCAGCCGCGGUAAUACGGAGGGGGUUAGCGUUGUUCGGAAUUACUGGGCGUAAAGCGCACGUAGGCGGACUAUUAAGUCAGGGGUGAAAUCCCGGGGCUCAACCCCGGAACUGCCUUUGAUACUGGUAGUCUAGAGUUCGAGAGAGGUGAGUGGAAUUCCGAGUGUAGAGGUGAAAUUCGUAGAUAUUCGGAGGAACAC